UGUUGCUGGCCCUCUCGGGGGCAUGUGCACACCCAUCAUCCUCAUCUCUCCACCUGUGCCUCUUGUAGACCUGGAUUGACUUUCCGAGGCAACUCGGUCGGGAAGAUUGCUGCGCUCUGUGAGCCAGCUUUCUUUGCAUGUCCAGGACUAUGUUUUUCAUAUACCCCUAUAGAAUGUAACAGAAUGUAUCAUUGGGCCUUGUGCCUAUAAACCUUAUACAACUUUCAGCAACGGAUCUCUUGGCUCUCGCAUCGAUGAAGAACGCAGCGAAAUGCGAUAAGUAAUGUGAAUUGCAGAAUUCAGUGAAUCAUCGAAUCUUUGAACGCACCUUGCGCUCCUUGGUAUUCCGAGGAGCAUGCCUGUUUGAGUGUCAUUAAAUUCUCAACCUUAUUAGCUUUUGUUGAUAAUGGAUUGGAUGUGGGGGUUUAUUUUGCUGGCUUCUUCACAGAGAUCAGCUCCCCUUAAAUGCAUUAGCUGGUGACCCGCGUGGACCAUCUAUUGGUGUGAUAAUUAUCUACGCCGUGGAUGUCUGCAAUCAUAUGGGUUUUGCACUGCUUCUAACCGUCUGUUCAUUCGGACAAUACAUGACAAUUUGACCUCAAAUCAGGUAGGACUACCCGCUGAACUUAAGCAUAUCAUUAAGCGGAGGAAAAGAAACUAACAAGGAUUCCCCUAGUAACUGCGAGGAAGGCGGGAAAAGCUCAAAUUUAAAAUCUGGCCGUCUCCGGCCGUCC
rnacentral:rRNA from 1 species